UACGUAGGGGGCAAGCGUUGUCCGGAAUCAUUGGGCGUAAAGCGCGUGUAGGCGGCUUGGUAAGUCUGGUGUGAAACCUCGGGGCUCAACCCCGAGCCUGCACUGGAUACUGCCUCGCUCGAGUCCGGGAGGGGAGAGCGGAAUUCCUAGUGUAGCGGUGAAAUGCGCAGAUAUCAGGAAGAACACCCGUGGCGAAGGCGGCUCUCUGGGACGGUACUGACGCUGAGACGCGAAAGCUAGGGGAGCAAACAGG
rnacentral:rRNA from 1 species